rnacentral:misc_RNA from 1 species
GUUUAAGAUAAAGUCUAUGUACUAGCCCAUAAAUCUGCUAGAAACGGUAUAUGCUUAUUCAAAGUGUAGGAUUAACCAUGAAAAGGGAAUGAUAGACUCCAAAGACCUUGGGAGUCAUAAGAUAGCUCUGGCCAAAUAGAUUUGCUCAUUUUAUAUCCUCUAUGUAUGCACAAUUAAGUUUGCUUCUGAUGUGUGGUGUUUUUUG